rnacentral:rRNA from 1 species
AAAUGAAUUGACGGGGACCCGCACAAGCGGUGGAUGAUGUGGAUUAAUUCGAUGCAACGCGAAAAACCUUACCUACGCUUGACAUGCCAGGAACCUUGCUGAAAGGUGAGGGUGCUCGAAAGAGAGCCUGGACACAGGUGCUGCAUGGCUGUCGUCAGCUCGUGUCGUGAGAUGUUGGGUUAAGUCCCGCAACGAGCGCAACCCUUAUCAUUAGUUGCUACGAAAGGGCACUCUAAUGAGACUGCCGGUGACAAACCGGAGGAAGGUGGGGAUGACGUCAAGUCCUCAUGGCCCUUAUGCGUAGGGCUUCACACGUCAUACAAUGGUCGGUACAGAGGGUUGCCAACCCGCGAGGGGGAGCCAAUCCCAUAAAACCGAUCGUAGUCCGGAUUGCAGUCUGCAACUCGACUGCAUGAAGUCGGAAUCGCUAGUAAUCGCGGAUCAGCAUGUCGCGGUGAAUACGUUCCCGGGUCUUGUACACACCGCCCGU